GACGAACGCUGGCGGCGUGCUUAACACAUGCAAGUCGAACGAUGAAGAAAAGAAUUGAAGCUUCGGCAGAAAUUCAUUUCGGAUUAGUGGCAGACGGGUGAGUAACGCGUGAGCAACCUACCUCUUACAAAGGGAUAGCCUCGGGAAACCGGGAUUAAUACCAUAUAACAUUGCGACGAAGCAUUUCGAUGCAAUCAAAGCUACGGCGGUAAGAGAUGGGCUCGCGUCCCAUUAACCAGAUGGUGAGGUAACGGCUCACCAUAGUAACGAUGGGUAACCGGCCUGAGAGGGUGAACGGUCACACUGGAACUGAGACACGGACCAGACUCCUACGGGAGGCAGCAGUGGGGAAUAUUGCACAAUGGAGGGAACUCUGAUGCAGCGACGCCGCGUGAGUGAUGAAGGAAUUCGUUUCGUAAAACUCUGUUCUAUGGGAAGAAAAGGACUGUACCAUAGGAGAAAGCUCCGGCUAAAUACGUG
rnacentral:rRNA from 1 species